UACGUAGGGGACAAGCGUUGUCCGGAUUCAUUGGGCGUAAAGAGCGUGUAGGCGGCCAGGUAGGUCGGUUGUGAAAACUGGAGGCUCAACCUUCAGAGGUCGACCGAAACCAUCUGGCUAGAGUCCGGGAGAGGAGAGUGGAAUUCCUGGUGUAGCGGUGAAAUGCGCAGAUAUCAGGAGGAACACCGGUGGCGAAGGCGGUUCUCUGGGCAUGUCCUGACGCUGAGGAGCGAAAGUGUGGGGAGCGAACAGG
rnacentral:rRNA from 1 species